rnacentral:rRNA from 1 species
CCCUUAGAUGUUCGGGGCCGCACGCGCGCUACACUGAAUGAAUCAGCGAGUGUAUGUCCUAGGCCGAAAGGUCCGGGUAACCCGUUGAACCUCAUUCGUGAUUGGGAUAGGGACUUGCAAUUGUUUCCCUUGAACGAGGAAUUCCCAGUAAGCGCAAGUCAUCAGCUUGCGUUGAUUACGUCCCUGCCCUUUGUACACACCGCCCGUCGCUACUACCGAUUGAAUGGUUUAGUGAGAUCUCCGGAUUGGCUCUGUAGGUCCCGCAAGGGAUUUAUUAGUAGCCAAGAAGCUGCUCAAACUUGAUCAUUUAGAGGAAGUAAAAGUCGUAACA